GAUGAACGCUGGCGGCGUGCCUAAUACAUGCAAGUCGAGCGAACAGACGAGGAGCUUGCUCCUCUGACGUUAGCGGCGGACGGGUGAGUAACACGUGGAUAACCUACCUAUAAGACUGGGAUAACUUCGGGAAGCCGGAGCUAAUACCGGAUAAUAUAUUGAACCGCAUGGUUCAAUAGUGAAAGACGGUUUUGCUGUCACUUAUAGAUGGAUCCGCGCCGCAUUAGCUAGUUGGUAAGGUAACGGCUUACCAAGGCAACGAUGCGUAGCCGACCUGAGAGGGUGAUCGGCCACCCUGGAACUGAGACACGGUCCAGACUCCUACGGGAGGCAGCAGUAGGGAAUCUUCCGCAAUGGGCGAAAGCCUGACGGAGCAACGCCGCGUGAGUGAUGAAGGUCUUCGGAUCGUAAAACUCUGUUAUUAGGGAAGAACAAAUGUGUAAGUAACUAUGCACGUCUUGACGGUACCUAAUCAGAAAGCCACGGCUAACUACGUG
rnacentral:rRNA from 1 species